UACGUAGGGUGCAAGCGUUGUCCGGAAUUAUUGGGCGUAAAGAGCGUGUAGGCGGCCCGAUUAGUCCGCUGUGAAAGUCCAGGGCUCAACCCUGGAAUGCCGGUGGAUACUGUCGGGCUAGAGUCCGGAAGGGGCGAGUGGAAUUCCUGGUGUAGCGGUGAAAUGCGCAGAUAUCAGGAAGAACACCCGUGGCUAAGGCGGCUCUCUAGUACGGUACUGACGCUGAGACGCGAAAGCGUGGGGAGCGAACAGG
rnacentral:rRNA from 1 species